rnacentral:rRNA from 1 species
GUGUCAGCAGCCGCGGUAAAACGUAGGGGGCGAGCGUUACCCGGAUUUACUGGGCGUAAAGUGCGUUGAGGCGGUCCCGUAAGUUGGGCGUGAAAGCCCCGGGCUCAACCCGGGGAGGCCGUUCAAUACUGCGGGACUUGAGGGCGGGAGAGGGAGGUGGAAUUCCCGGUGUAGUGGUGAAAUGCGUAGAUAUCGGGAGGAACACCAUUGGCGAAGGCGGCCUCCUGGCCCGCUCCUGACGCUGAAGGCGAAAGCCAGGGGAGCGAACGGGAUUAGAUACCCCGGUAGUCCUGGCUGUAAACGAUGGACGCUAGGUGUGGGGGGGGAUAAACUCCCUCCGUGCCGAAGCUAACGCGUUAAGCGUCCCGCCUGGGGACUACGGCCGCAAGGCUAAAACUCAAAUGAAUUGACGGGG